rnacentral:tRNA from 1 species
GGGGUUGUAGCUCAGUGGUAAAGUGCUCACCUUGCAUGUGGGAGGCACUGGGUUGGAUCCUCAGCACCA